rnacentral:rRNA from 1 species
AUUGAACGCUGGCGGCAUGCUUUACACAUGCCAGUCGAACGGUAACAGGCCGCAAGGUGCUGACGAGUGGCGAACGGGUGAGUAAUGCAUCGGAACGUGCCCAGUCGUGGGGGAUAACUACUCGAAAGAGUAGCUAAUACCGCAUACGAUCUAUGGAUGAAAGCGGGGGACCGUAAGGCCUCGCGCGAUUGGAGCGGCCGAUGUCAGAUUAGGUAGUUGGUGGGGUAAAGGCUCACCAAGCCAACGAUCUGUAGCUGGUCUGGGAGGACAACCAGCCACACUGGGACUGAGACACGGCCCAGACUCCUACGGGAGGCAGCAGUGGGGAAUUUUGGACAAUGGGCGCAAGCCUGAUCCAGCAAUGCCGCGUGCAGGAAGAAGGCCUUCGGGUUGUAAACUGCUUUUGUACGGAACGAAACGGCUCUGGUUAAUACCCGGGGCUAAUGACGGUACCGUAAGAAUAAGCACCGGCUAACUACGUG